CAAGUUUCAAUUUACAAACAAAAUUGUUUCAAAUACAUUAAUAAAACCAUACCACAAGACCGUUCAUAACAACCCUGUGACUUAAGAUACAUUACAGUCAAGCCAAGUGAAAGAAUUAAAAACCAAAAAUACACAUCAUCCUGUCAUAACAGUCGCCAGUGCCUCUCCUUGCAUUUUUGCCUCCACAAGACCGUUUAGGAACCGCAGGGGUAUCCUCUAGCAUCAUACUCUGACCUGCAAGUCCAAGACCCACAACCACA
rnacentral:lncRNA from 1 species